rnacentral:rRNA from 1 species
AACGAACGCUGGCGGCAGGCUUAACACAUGCAAGUCGAACGGUAACAGGCCGCAAGGUGCUGACGAGUGGCGAACGGGUGAGUAAUGCAUCGGAACGUGCCCAGUCGUGGGGGAUAACGCAGCGAAAGCUGCGCUAAUACCGCAUACGAUCUAUGGAUGAAAGCGGGGGACCGUAAGGCCUCGCGCGAUUGGAGCGGCCGAUGUCAGAUUAGGUAGUUGGUGAGGUAAUGGCUCACCAAGGCGACGAUCCCUAGCUGGUCUGAGAGGAUGAUCGGCCACACUGGAACUGAGACACGGUCCAGACUCCUACGGGAGGCAGCAGUGGGGAAUAUUGCACAAUGGGGGAAUCCCGGAUGCAGCCAUGCCGCGUGUGUGAAGAAGGCCUUCGGGUUGUAAAGCACUUUUGUCCGGAAAGAAAAGUCCCGGGUUAAUACCCUGGGGUGAUGACGGUACCGGAAGAAUAAGCACCGGCUAACUUCGUGCCAGCCGCCGCCGUAAAAC